UACGUAGGGGGCAAGCGUUGUCCGGAAUUACUGGGCGUAAAGGGCGCGUAGGCGGCACUGUUAGUCAGGCGUGAAAGUCCUGGGCUCAACCUGGGAACUGCGCUUGAUACGGCAGAGCUAGAGGAUGGAAGAGGCUCGCGGAAUUCCCAGUGUAGAGGUGAAAUUCGUAGAUAUUGGGAAGAACACCGGUGGCGAAGGCGGCAUCCUGGACCGACACUGACGCUGAGGCGCGAAAAGCUAGGGUAGCAAACAGG
rnacentral:rRNA from 1 species